GCUGGGCAUGGUGGCUCACACCUGUAAUCCCAAAUACCUGGGAGGCUGAGGCAGGAGAAUUGCAAGUGUGAGGCCAGCCUGGGCAACUUAGAGAGACCUUGUCUGAA
rnacentral:sRNA from 1 species